GUCUGGUUUCAGAGCUAUUUACACACAUCCUUCUCUCUAGUAAUCCACCACCAGCCUCCUAGGGGCAAAUCUCUUUCUGACUCUCUGCUGGGUCUCCCACGUAGCGGCUCAGAACACAGUACAAAGCAGCUGUUCAUUAAAUCUAUUUAAAUGUACCAAAGACUGAAGGUCUCAUCGGUCACAAGAUCUCAGGAUCAACAUUUUUGGUUUAUACUCAGUCUCACCAGAAUUGUGUCAAAUCACGUGCUCAGACAAGGCUCUUUUCUCCAGGCCUCCCAUCUUUAAAAGAAACUACACGUGGUUGUCCAGCCACAAUGGGGAAACAUUUUCCCUUUAAUCUUAUGACAAAAGAAUUUUUUAAAAUCCUAACAUUGGCUGAUUUUUGAGCUGGAGCCAUCUUCCUAGUUUCAGAGUAAUGAAGCAGGUCCCCGAGGAACCCAGCCUGCUCGCUUGAGAAGCUCCUGGGGCUGGCAGGUGGCUGGUGGGGAGCAGGGUCAGGACACAAACCCGUGUGUGAGGACGUAGCCCUUCCUGCCCAUUGAUCACGCUGGCCUGUUGAUGAAAACAAGCCGAUCAAGCACUUUGAAGUGGCAGUGUUGCAGAGAGAGCUGGAGGACGGAAGAGCUUGGAUUCUUGCCCCUUUCUUAAUUGCUUGAAAGAGGAAAAGAGGAAACAGGAAAAAGAAAAAAAAAAAGCUCUCAGGCUGCCGGGCUGUGGCCGACUUCGCUGUGUGGGUGCGUUAAGCCCCGGCCAAGUGCGUAGUGAGCGCAUGAGCAAGAAUAUUCAAGAUGCGUGAGACAGUUACUUGUUGUUGGUUCACUGAUUGCCUAGCGUCAUUCUGCACCGCUCUCUCAAAGGAGCUAGCCCGGUGAAAUGAGAUUUUAAUAAGAGGAAUCCUUACAGCGCGGGGUUGAACAUUCAGGAGGCCGUCUGCCUGCCCCAGCGAUGCUGAGCCAGAACACGAUCCGAUUGGAAAACACGAUGUUUAGAUACAAAUGUAAUUUGCCAGAGCGAAAUCAUUUUUCCCCAGGAUCAGUUGAACACAUGCAUUUUAUUAAGCUGUCCUUAUGCUGGACUUUUUUUUUUUUUUUUUCAGGUGGCCCUCUUCAUCUGCAUUUUUCCCCCUCCAGAGGUUGCCUAGGAGGUUUGUGUAAUUGCCUUGUGCUCGGGAGCCAGGGUCCAGAACUUUUGUCCCUAGGAAUUCCCCCGAGAGCUGCAAAGAAAAGCACUGGGAAAGCAAGAUCCGCUUCUCCCCCUCCAGAAGGUGGAUUCUUGCGUCUUUUCUAAUCUGUGUCCUGCCGGAAAUAUUUAAAUUCUGGGUCUUUCUACCUGCUAUCCUAUCACACAGACACAAGGGAGUUCAUGGCAAAUUUUAGAGACAGGACCUUUUUACAAAUGAGGGAAUGAAACCUUUCAAUGCUGAGUGACCUUUUCAAUACAACUGGUAAGCACAGGGAGGGAUUGACCCUCAGGUGUUUUGAGGCGGUGGUGGUGGAGGUGGAGGUGUGUUUAACUGUACCUACCACGUGAUGUUGUGUCAUAAAUCAGAGGUGACAUAGCCAAGCAGUCAAAACUGCAGGCUUUUGGAGACUGUGCGCCUGUGACUUUGGACAUAUACCUUUCUCUCUGCCUCGGUUUCCUCAUCUGUAAACAAGGAUAACAAUAGCAAUUCUAAAAUGAGGAUCAUAAUAGUACCAUCUCAUACCCACAUGUAAAAUAUGCCUAACAUGGGGCAUAGCAUGUAUGAAACAUUUAGUAAUUCAUUAUUAAUAUGUUAAUGUUUUAUUAACCAAACUCGCCCCGUUUGAAUUUGUUUAUGUUUGGAGUGGAAUUUUAAUUUUAUUAUCUCUUAUUUCCUCUAUUUAUCGCAGUUAAAAAUUUGAUUUUGACAUUUUAAAUUGUAAUGAUCACAUAGAGAUCAAAAAUUCAUAAUCAAAAUGUCUGUUUUCAAAAAUUUCCCUUUCCCUCCUGCUUCCUCUCCUUCCCAGUGUCAACUCCUGUCCACAAAGCAGUAGCAACUGUCACUGAUUUAUUUUUGUAUUUUCUUCCCAGGGAUUUUUGCAUAUCUAGGGCAUUACCAAUGUAUAUCCCUCUGACCCACAAACUUUUUUACAUGAGCAGUAACAUACUCUCUAUGUUGUUCUUUCUUUUCUUUCUUAAAGUUAUGUCCAAACUCCUGAACAGCGAAUUUUCAUAAUUUUUUUCUUUUCUUUCUAUUGAAUUUUACAACCACCUUGUAUUUUGUUGCAUGAAUGUACCCUCCUGGUGGACAGGUAGGCUAGUGCCAACCUUUUGUUAUUACAAAUGUGAUGGAAUAAAUGAACUUGCACGUAUGUUAUUCUGCA
rnacentral:lncRNA from 1 species